UCACGGUACGGCAGAACACCAGAGGGCACUCCAAUUUCCUUUCAACUCUACUACAAACCACUUGCUCCAAGUGCUACUCGGAGACCCGUGUACGAAGAUGGAGCGACAAAGGUGCUACGCUUGAUCAACAUGAUUUCACCCGAUCAGCUCGAGGAUGAUGAGUAUUAUCGGAAGUUUUGCCUGAGGGUGACCGAAGAAGGGCAGA